rnacentral:ncRNA from 2 species
CAACACGAUAGAGGCGCGGAUGCGAAGGGUUUCGGGCCAGCCGGCAGGCGAUUAUCCCGAAGCGAGGCAAUUCCGCCGAAUCGUUGCGACAGGCAUGGCGCAACGGUGGGCUGUCGGGGAACACCCGUCAGACUGUCUGCAAAAUUGCAGGUGCGCUAUCUUGCUG